ACAAUCUGGCAGGAGCAACCACCAUGAUCAAGAAGGUGGUUUGCCCUGAGUGACGCCCAGCCAUUGCACUCAGGCUGUGCUGACCUUUGUGAAUUCCUCAAAUGCAAGAAUCUCAACUGCAUCAUUUCUGGUGUGGGGGAGGGGGACUACGUUCACGCUCUCCCCUU